UACGGGGGGGGCAAGCGUUGUUCGGAAUUACUGGGCGUAAAGGGCUCGUAGGCGGCCAACUAAGUCAUGCGUGAAAUCCCUCGGCUUAACCGGGGAACUGCGUCUGAUACUGGAUGGCUUGAGUGUGGGAGAGGAUCGCGGAAUUCCCGGUGUAGAGGUGAAAUUCGUAGAUAUCGGGAGGAACACCGGUGGCGAAGGCGGCGAUCUGGGUCGAUACUGACGCUGAGGUGCGAAAGCGUGGGGAGCAAACAGG
rnacentral:rRNA from 1 species